rfam:Asian citrus Psyllid, Diaphorina citri - Florida Strain, whole genome shotgun sequence.
GCCAACGGUGAUGACACGUUGAAUGCACCAGUUCCCAACGGAUCACUGAAGUUAAGCAACGUGCAACAUUUAGUAUCCGGAUGGGUGACUAGCUGAGCAAUCGCGAGCUGCUUGUU